AAAGUUCGAAGGAAGGAAAUAUAGAAAAAGAAAAUCGCCAACGAUACACACACGGUCACAUAUUGAAGUGACUCAGUGAAAGGGAAUGAGUGAAGAAAAAGUUCCUUCUAAGACAGGAAAGUGCAAGAGAAGGAAGUAUGUGUGUAUGUGUGGGUAUGUCCAUGAGCACAGGCCUGUGUGUGUG